UGAGGAGUCGCCUAAUGGGAUGGCAUCGCUUUUUGGCAGCGAAAUAAUGCAGGUUCGAUCCCUGCCUCCUCAG
rnacentral:tRNA from 2 species